CGAGCAUACAUAGGACGAUCUUCAUGCGUGAAUAGCCGGGAGGAAAGAAAGGGCGGUAGAUGAUAAUGAAAAAGGGCGCCGCGUCUGGACGGGCAGU